rnacentral:rRNA from 1 species
CUACGGGAGAAAGGGGGCUUCGGCUCCCGCUAUUGGAUGAGCCUAUGUCGGAUUAGCUAGUUGGUGAGGUAAAGGCUCACCAAGGCAACGAUCCGUAGCUGGUCUGAGAGGAUGAUCAGCCACAUCGGGACUGAGACACGGCCCGAACUCCUACGGGAGGCAGCAGUGGGGAAUAUUGGACAAUGGGGGCAACCCUGAUCCAGCCAUGCCGCGUGUGUGAAGAAGGCCCUCGGGUUGUAAAGCACUUUCAGCGAGGAAGAACGCCUAGCGGUUAAUACCCGUUAGGAAAGACAUCACUCGCAGAAGAAGCACCGGCUAACUCCGUGCCAGCAGCCGCGGUAAUACGGAGGGUGCAAGCGUUAAUCGGAAUUACUGGGCGUAAAGCGCGCGUAGGUGGCUUGAUAAGCCGGUUGUGAAAGCCCCGGGCUCAACCUGGGAACGGCAUCCGGAACUGUCAGGCUAGAGUGCAGGAGAGGAAGGUAGAAUUCCCGGUGUAGCGGUGAAAUGCGUAGAGAUCGGGAGGAAUACCAGUGGCGAAGGCGGCCUUCUGGACUGACACUGACACUGAGGUGCGAAAGCGUGGGUAGCAAACAGGAUUAGAUACCCUGGUAGUCCACGCCGUAAACGAUGUCGACCAGCCGUUGGGUGCCUAGAGCACUUUGUGGCGAAGUUAACGCGAUAAGUCGACCGCCUGGGGAGUACGGCCGCAAGGUUAAAACUCAAAUGAAUUGACGGGGGCCCGCACAAGCGGUGGAGCAUGUGGUUUAAUUCGAUGCAACGCGAAGAACCUUACCUACCCUUGACAUCUACAGAAGCCGGAAGAGAUUCUGGUGUGCCCUCGGGAACUGUAAGACAGGUGCUGCAUGGCUGUCGUCAGCUCGUGUUGUGAAAUGUUGGGUUAAGUCCCGUAACGAGCGCAACCCUUGUCCUUAUUUGCCAGCACGUAAUGGUGGGAACUCUAAGGAGACUGCCGGUGACAAACCGGAGGAAGGUGGGGACGACGUCAAGUCAUCAUGGCCCUUACGGGUAGGGCUACACACGUGCUACAAUGGCCGGUACAAAGGGCUGCGAGCUCGCGAGAGUCAGCGAAUCCCUUAAAGCCGGUCUCAGUCCGGAUCGGAGUCUGCAACUCGACUCCGUGAAGUCGGAAUCGCUAGCAAUCGUGAAUCAGAAUGUCACGGUGAAUACGUUCCCG